rnacentral:misc_RNA from 1 species
CACAAAUAAACAAGCAUCAUUAGUCAUCCAUCACCAUUUAUUUAGAAUUAAGAAAAAGAAAAUAUACAGAAGGGUGAAAUUUCUUCUUGCUCCAAACAAUCAUAUAAUCACAUCAUGAAACAUUUGUUCAAAAGAAAAACAAAUUCAAAUCGAGGAACCCUUCAAAUCAUAUCAUCAAGGAUGAACAUACAAUGCUUAAAAAAAAAAAAAAAAAGUUUUGGCCCAUCAAUGUAUGAUCUAUCCCAUUCCCAGGAGAUGUGGUUGGUUUGCUUGAAAAGACACUAACCACUCUCAGAUCUCUUCUCCACCACUACAAUCUAUACUUGAAAAAAAAAGGGAGAAAUAAAUAAAUAAAGAAACAAAAAACCAAAGAUCAGACAAAGAACUUCGGCUGCUUAUCUGGGAUUUUCUUGAGAAAGUAGCCCACCACGCCCACUCAAGUUUCUUAAGAGAAAGGUUGAAAAGGACCAGAUAAAGAAAAAGAAAAAUAAUAAUACAAAAGGAAAUGGAAUGGGAUAUAUAUAUAUAUAUAAUGGAAACAGUGGUUUUCUUUCCCACCGUACAAUCUUACUUGACAUGAAAUGAUUCACUCCUGAUACUUGGUUUGACCUUCAAAAGCUUAAAAACUCACCAAUCUGGCUUUUUUCUUUGUUUCUUUCUUGGUUUCUUGCCAAUGUAGAAAGCUGGAGUGGACACCACAAUGCUUGUCCUCUGGCAGGCAAAGUAUCCCACUAAGAUCUUCUACCUUUAUGUGACACUUGUUCUUUUCACUCUCCUCUUGCUAUUCUUCACUCUCAAAAGUAAAAGCUGCUAUAUUACUUUCUUUUCUUUCUCUUAUAUAUAUAUAUAGAUAUAUAUACCCUUUUUCUGUUUGUUUGGGUUGGUCCUAAACAUAGUAGAGAGAGUAGUCUAGGUAGGUUUAGAAGCAGCUUGCUUGAAAGCAACAGUGGGAGCAAUUCUGCAGCUCCUCCUCUGAUGCUCAAGCACAAGUUCAUCAGCAAACCAAUCCAGUUUCUCAAAAUUGCUUUGCUCUCCAAUCCUCUUACCCCCAAACAACACUGAUUCAACAUUUUUCUGCUUCAACAUUUCCUCUGCUAUGGAAAUCAACAUCUUCACAUUGUUAGGACCAGGGUCUGUGUCCACAUUGGGUCCACACCGGCCUAAGCUGGAUCCAUUUGCCUGAAUUCUUACGUAGUUACUGUUCCUACACUGCCCAAAAGCCAUAGCUAUGGCUUGGUCCACUGAAUCUGCCGAACCAUCACCUGCAAUUCGAGCCAUGGGUCGAGCCCAGUGCCUGGCCCUCCAGUUUUUAACCUCCUCAUAAUCGUAACUCAACUCAAGAAGCUGACCAGCACCAAGAGACAGUACUAAUAAAUCUUCCACUCCUCUCACGAAUGGAAACUCUUGCUUGUUAUGCAGAACGUGCGUGAUUGCCGCGGAUGUUGGGUUGCUCAUAGCCAAACCACCUUCAACCGCUAAACACUUGGUCUGACCGUCAAUCGACCGCAUUUGAAUUGGCUCGAAUAAACCCGGCUCGGCCGAUGUCGCUCUGCAGACUUCCCAGAGCCGGAAAUCAAAACUAUCGGUUUCUAAUGCGUCUGCUCUUGAGAACAGAAACGGCGCCAUGCUUGAAAGAUCGUAGCAUGGGAUCAGAACAGGUUUUAAUGUAUCUUUAAGAGUUAAGCUUUGACCUUUCUCAGUGAACAUCUCUUUCAUGGCUUUCUCUAGACAGCCUGUGGUGGCAGUCGUUCCAGAACCGCCUUUGAAUAGCCGCUUAAGAACGCCGCCGCCGCUACCACAACCAUUUCCAACACCUCCUCCAUUGCCAUUACCGGAACGGUAAAUUUUCCCGCCAUGAUCGGCCAAAAACCUCCAAGUGUCAUCUGCCUUCAUAAUCGCAUGGUUAUGAUCUUUACUGCCAAAAAGCAUGGCCGUAAAGAUGCCGCCGAUGCCCGUCCCCGCCGCGACGUCGAAAUAAUCUGCGAUUCUGGCUUCAGGAUUGCCUGAUUUGAUUUUGAGCGCGUGCUCGAGAUAGGCCAAUGCUUUCCCAGAAAGAAUCCCUCUCAUGCCUCCGCCGUCGAUGGAGAGUAUGCAGAUUUUUCCUCGCUGGUUCUUAAUUGCAGAGACGCCAUUGGCAUCGGCAACUGGUGGGGAUAUAAAAGACUCUGGUUUUGGCUCUGUGGGUGCCGGAGAUAUCUGCUUGGGAAUCCAGAGCUUGUGAUCGUCGUAACCAAACAGAAACUUGCUUUCAAGAAUUGAGAAGAUUUCGUAGCUGAGCUUGUCGGUGUCGAUGCUUGGUUCUUGCAUUUCUAAUGAAUGAUUGGUAGCCAUUUUCACCUUAGCAGAAACAAAACCGUUAUAAGUUUGUGGGUUGCAAAAGAAUCUAACUUGAGAAUUAGAUUCUUUGCAUGCUAAUUCUUGAUGGAGCUGUAUGGUUGAUUUCUUGUUUUGAUGGCAAGUUAAUCUCUUGAAUUAAUAUUGAGAUAAAAAAUUUUCUCUCCUCUUUUUGUUUACCUUGAAAAUAACGCCUGAGAGACUGAGAUUCUUGCCAAAUAUUUUUCCUCUUCUGUUUGAAUAUAUGCAGAGACCCUUCCUGAAUUCAGAUGAUUAAUCACUUCCCUCCAGUUUUUUUGACAAUCUUCAUCAUACUGAAAAUUUCAUCAUCCAAAUACAUGUGAGAUAAAUCACCCUUUUUUUUUAUUUGCUCUGCUAAAAAAUAUAUCUUUUGGGUUCCCAAACGCUCGCUGUCACUUCAGUUGGAGCCUGUAUAACCAAUCACUCUUUACAAGAAAAGAAGAAAAAGAAAGAAAAGAUAAGCCCCAAACCCUCUCUUGAAAAACCCUUUUGCCCAAUCUCCUUCCUUCUCCCUCUUAUCUCUCUGAGCUUGUGUAAUCUUUUGACAGAGCACGAUAAAGGUACCUACCCUCUCUUGAAAAACCCUUUUGCCCAAUCUCCUUCCUUCUCCCUCUUAUCUCUCUGAGCUUGUGUAAUCUUUUGACAGAGCACGAUAAAGGUACCUACCCUCUCUUGAAAAACCCUUUUGCCCAAUCUCCUUCCUUCUCCCUCUUAUCUCUCUGAGCUUGUGUAAUCUUUUGACAGAGCACGAUAAAGGUACCUAUAGCAAAAUGAUAUGGCAUAAAAAGAUUAAACCAAGCAAGGGAGUGGGUGGGUAGCCAAGCUAGCUGCUAGCUAUCGCCAAAAAACAAA